rnacentral:lncRNA from 1 species
GAGGAAUGAAAUUUGUUAAUCUGAAUGAUUAACUAUACUUUGUAUUGAAUUUUAACGUUAAUCACAUUGUUGUAUAUAUACAAGAUUAACUACUAAUCUUUACAUUAUGAAUAACCGAUUUAAAACUAAUUCAAUUAUAUCUGGGCUGGACUUGUUUAAAACUUGGUCCAUGGUCCAUUAGUUUACUUCGGUUCCUGCAAGAUAUAUGAAAGAUUAGAAUUAACAACCUGGUCCUUAUUGACCUGGUUU